ACGAGAAAUCCUGCUUCGGUGGGAGAGUAAAGUGGCGCACGGGUGAGUAACACGUAGGUAAUCUGCCUUUAGGACGGGAACAACUCCGAGAAAUCGGGGCUAAUACCCGAUGAUGCAGCGGCACCGCAUGGUGAAUGUUGUUAAAGGUUUCGACGCAAGUCGGAAUGCCUAUUGAUGAGCCUGCGUCCCAUUAGGUAGUUGGUGAGGUGACGGCCCACCAAGCCUACGAUGGGUAGCUGGUCUGAGAGGAUGAUCAGCCACACUGGAACUGAGACACGGUCCAGACUCCUACGGGAGGCAGCAGUGAGGAAUAUUGCGCAAUGGCCGAAAGGCUGACGCAGCGACGCCGCGUGAAGGAUGAAAUCCGUUAGGAUGUAAACUUCUUUUGCAGUGGAAGAAUGUCCCGGUUUUUACCGGGAGUGACGGUACACUGCGAAUAAGGAUCGGCUAACUACGUGCCAGCAGCCGCGGUAAUACGUAGGAUCCGAGCGUUGUCCGGAUUUACUGGGUGUAAAGGGCGUGUAGGUGGAUCUCUAAGUCGGUGGUGAAAUCUUGCAGCUUAACUGUAAAAUGGCGAUCGAUACUGGAGGUCUUGAGUGCGGAAGA
rnacentral:rRNA from 1 species